rnacentral:rRNA from 1 species
AGUCUGAAAUUCGACUUCAUGAAGCUGGAAUUGCUAGUAAUGGCAGGUCAGCAUACUGCCGUGAAUACGUUCCCCGGGCCUUGUACACACCGCCCGUCACACCAUGAGAGUUGGGAAUACCCGAAGCCUGUGAGCUAACUGUAAAGAGGCAGCAGUCGAAGGUAGAAUCAAUGAUUGGGGUGAAGUCGUAACAAGGUACC